rnacentral:rRNA from 1 species
GACGAACGCUGGCGGCGUGCUUAACACAUGCAAGUCGAACGGAAAGGCCCUGCUUGCAGGGUACUCGAGUGGCGAACGGGUGAGUAACACGUGGGUGAUCUGCCCUGCACUUCGGGAUAAGCUUGGGAAACUGGGUCUAAUACCGGAUAGGAACCAUCUUUAGUGUGGUGGUUGGAAAGUUUUUUCGGUGUAGGAUGAGCUCGCGGCCUAUCAGCUUGUUGGUGGGGUAAUGGCCUACCAAGGCGGCGACGGGUAGCCGGCCUGAGAGGGUGUACGGCCACAUUGGGACUGAGAUACGGCCCAGACUCCUACGGGAGGCAGCAGUGGGGAAUAUUGCACAAUGGGCGCAAGCCUGAGGCAGCGACGCCGCGUGGGGGAUGAAGGCCUUCGGGUUGUAAACUCCUUUCGCUAGGGACGAAGCUUUGUUGUGACGGUACCUAGAUAAGAAGCACCGGCUAACUACGUG